CAUCAAGCCACAGUCGUCGCAUGCCGGCCAACAGAUCUUCGCUGAAUGGUUCCGUGUCUUCCAUCCGCGAUACGACAUCAAAUACCUGAAGUGAUUAAACCAUAGCAUUUGUACAAAUCGCUGGCAGGCAAAAAAAUGUUCCACUUUCGGCCUUUUUAAACGUAAAGCGACUGCUGGUCUACAAACUCUAAAUAAUUCACUUGUAGUGUUACGGCAAACAACAAAGAAUCAAAAUCAUCGUCAGUAGCAGACGACAAUCAGCAGCCAGACGCAAUCGGCCACAUAGGGACGUGUUCCAGAGCAGGACACUUUCGCAUUAGCUUAUGAUUAGCUACUCCGGCGUAUGCGGUUUUCUGGAUCAGGUUCCCGUGUGUCGGGCCCUUAGAUGCUCCUUUGCUUUUAAGAGGGCCCGCCCCGGUCCUAGCUGGCCGGGGCAAUGGCCGGUAUUUAAGAGCGGGGCACGGGGCGAUGCCGCCGCCUGCCACCAAGAGCGGGAAUCUCAGUUUUUAACCAUAAGUGAAAGUACCAGGAAAGGCACAGCAGUUAGCAGUUAACCGCUCAGCUAGGCCUAAUUAAAUGACCGAGCUUUCAACUUUCUACCCACUUACCGGAUAGCACGAAGAUCCGGCAAGAUUCCAAGAUGGCAAGACUCAGGAGCUCGGAGGAGUCGUAUUAGGUCGUCAAGAUAAGCACAUAAAAAUAUGUGUCCAAUGCUAUGGGUGUUGAGACGGAAGAUGGCUUUUGUGCCGCUGCAACGACAGUACCGUAUCACUCCGAACUGCCUCACCGGGUCGCGUUACUUUCCAGCAUCUUAUGAAGUCGUCAAACGUGGUUAUUGUUUUGUGGAUCUUGGUCCGACGGUGCGAUGACUGCCAGGCAGAACAUGAGGACAGAAGAACGGUGAAGCCUCUGGUCAACUAACAAAACGUUGCCAACUAACCACUGCUAGGUCUUUGGAUGACUACCGGUGGCCAUGCGGCUGCUAAGAGCUUAGUAUUGUGUGGAAGUCAGCACUUUUACUACAGUUUCCACUGUUGCUCAAGAAGCCGGUUAUUUAGUCACCGAGCAGCGUGGAUCAUGAGCGUUGAGAACUGUGGGGCAAAGCAAGCUAUGGAAACUGUUGCACGAAAAAAAAACUAUUGGCCGGGCUUGUUAGAGUAAAUGUCGAUGACCUAAGUCGUCCAGAACAUACAUGACCUAUUCCACUUGCAGCAAUAAUAGCAAAGACAGCAUGACAGCAGGCGCAUGGUACUGGACACAACCAGCGACAACGCAGGCCAGCUCGUAGGACACAAAUCUAAAUAACUGUGUAAGACCCUAACUCUCGUCGUGGCGAUAUUAACAUAAACCUUUGCUGUCCCCAAACUGCAAUGCAAGGGUGGUUUAGGUACCCUGAAGCCUGCUUGGAUUCGAUAAAGCUCUUCCUAUUAUCCAGCCGCUUGAUAUCCCCCUCCGAGAUUUCCAACGAUGUGAGAAGUAAUACAAUGUACGACCAAAUCUUCGCUGUCAGAACGUUCAUCGUGAAGAUAAACGGCAUCGGAUCUCUAGGUGAGCCUCUGGGUUACAGUUUUGUUCGGGGUAUGUUGGGCAGAGGGUGAUAACUGGUUAUAAAGGAAGUGUACAGAAAAGGAAUUGCCACAGAGCAAGAAGCAGUGCAGGCAAAAAUCUUCCUUAGGGGGCGCGGAUCACCUUAGAACGACAGUGAGUUUGUCGUAGGUGAGGCAAAUAAACGUCUACAGUCAUCUAAAGUCGCAGAAAAUUCGAAGUCCUUAGUCCUCAAUCCCUCUCCGUUGUCUUGCGUGGAUUUCUUAGGUUCGUCUGUUUAGAUAUGUGGCCUCGCCUGGUUGCCCUAUCAACCGGUGAAUCCACCAACCUCAGUCAACCGGUCGGACUUUUCCCCUUCGACCUGGUAACUACUUGCGAUGCCUGCCCCACCGCCACCACUGGCAUAAUCCCGGCGACGCCAAUAACUUAGCGGAUCAAGCUACCGCUUCGUCCGUCCCUCAGGUAGGAGCCAUGUAGUCUGCCAUCGUUCUGCGCCCGCCUAACAACAUCAUGUCAACUUGUCAGCGAGCUCGUACCACAUUUUGAUUUCAGAUGACCACCUGCUGUCCCCCUGGAUCCCAUUCUGAUGCAGGGACAAAUACCACAGCAAGAUAAGUCAAGAUAGAGCAAUAUGCCUACGUGCCUACAGAUGAUUAUGGACAGAACAUCAAAGAAAGCUUCUCUCGUUGUUGUCAUUGUCAUACAGCAGGUACGGGCAUUGCUAGACAUAAACUAGGAAUGGGGGUAUAUUCUGCCAAUCGCGCUGCCGCCACCGAUUUACCAGCAUCGCCAAUAGCCUCUUUGGAGAACAGAUUUCCGUUAUGGGUAAAUCAAAAAUGGGGAACGCAGGCGUUUUGCUGUGCUCUCUAUUCGUGUAUUGAAUAGAACGUGGGACAAGUAGCACAUAGAACAAGAUAUCUCUAUAGCGCGAUGCUGUUUCCAUGUGAAGGAAUAAACGGACAAUAUGGGGCGAAUGGGCGGAAAGGUAUCAGGAAAGAGCAAGAAUGCGAGAUAGUCUAACAGUACAGAAAAGUAUAACCAAAUAUAAUGCAUGGGAAAUCAAUGGAGACGGUAAACGGCAGACGUAUAGCAGACAAACAAUUACGCCAGGAGCAUUCGAUUCACCGGCCUUAACGCAGUAGCAGCGACAUCACAAGCAAUAGCUGCUAAGCAAUAUGCACACAUAGAUAUCUCAGCGUAUAUAUGUAUCUGCUAAAAAUAUACAAACCAUUGAUCGUGCGAGCCAAAAGUAGGAUGCAGCCAUCAAUGAAGAAACAAACUGAACGAUGACGAGUUACCUACGCGGGUGUCGCUUCUGCUGCCACAAUGAACUGGGCUGAACUACGACCUCUUGAGUAAGACGCCUGUGGGGUUAGCAUUAGAACUAGACAAGAAGAACAAUGGACUAUUCUUUUGAAACCGCCUGACGACCCACAGAGAACGCUUGAACGCUGAAUACUGCUUCAGUUAGACGUUGAAUGCUUAAUGUACCACAGCGCUUUCGAACAACGCAUACACACAACUUGUAAACAUUUUGGGGUGCAUUUGCCAGCGAGCUGGCGCAACAGAACUUUUGUGUAACAAAAUGACUGAGCAUGUGUAUGUGUCAUGCCAUAAUAAUCGUAACUAACAGGCUACCGCCUAUAGGUCUACUAUCAGCAAUCAGGUAUGGCAUGAAUGCCUACGAACACGUAUGCCCCAUGGUGGUUCACAAUCGUUUAGCUGAAUAUGAACGAAACCAGCAAAAGUGUGUUGAAGCUAACAUUGCCAAAACAAUGUUGUUGCUGCUGCUGCUGCUGCUGCUGCCAUAGUAUCUGCUGGGAGUAGCGACUCCUACGGCUCUGAAGCGUCACUACAAACGCCUAUGAAUAUCUAUCGCAACAGAGCGCUGCGAGAACGCGUUACCGGAUUUCGGCACAAGGCACCGGACGGGCUAGAAAACGGCGGUCAAACGAAGCGUAUUUGCCUCAACGUACAACAGGUGUAUGGACCCAUCGUCAAAGUCUAUAAUUCCGUUCUAUUGCUGAGUCGCUGCGGCAGCUUUAAUGCUUGUCAGGUCGGCUAAGUUUAGCAUGGACAGCGUGUUACUACUAUGGACGUAAUGGUAAUACACUAAUGACGAGAUACACUUUUUGCUGUUCUUCCUGAUAUUUGUAUACAUGAGUGAUGCCAUUGCUAGCAACCCGACACGAAGCAACCUUAGAGAUCGCGCUGCUUGGCCGCCGAAUCAAUAAAUAGGUCGCAUGCUGCUAGCAUUGCUUGGCUCGGAUGGCGGAGGGUAGCCCCUUUCAGCAGAACCACAAAACAAGCAAUGUAACUAUUACCGAAUUCGAAUCGGACCACCUCACCUCACCAGGAGCUGUUAGGUUUUAAUACAAGCGAACAAGUUACCCUUGCAUCUUCAGGGGGACUUCACCUCCAUAUGAACAAAUCGUGAAUCGCUGCUAUUAAGAAGAAGG